GGAUGCGAUCAUACCAGCACUAAAGCACCGGAUCCCAUCAAAACUCCGAAGUUAAGCGUGCUUUGGCGAGAGUAGUACUAGGAUGGGUGACCUCCUGGGAAGUCCUCGUGUUGCAUUCC
rnacentral:rRNA from 2 species